AUUGAACGCUGGCGGCAUGCCUUACACAUGCAAGUCGAACGGCAGCACGGGAGCUUGCUCCUGGUGGCGAGUGGCGAACGGGUGAGUAAUACAUCGGAACGUACCCUGAAGUGGGGGAUAACGUAGCGAAAGUUACGCUAAUACCGCAUAUUCUGUGAGCAGGAAAGAGGGGGAUCGCAAGACCUCUUGCUUUAGGAGCGGCCGAUGUCGGAUUAGCUAGUUGGUGAGGUAAAGGCUCACCAAGGCGACGAUCCGUAGCGGGUCUGAGAGGAUGAUCCGCCACACUGGGACUGAGACACGGCCCAGACUCCUACGGGAGGCAGCAGUGGGGAAUUUUGGACAAUGGGCGCAAGCCUGAUCCAGCCAUGCCGCGUGAGUGAAGAAGGCCUUCGGGUUGUAAAGCACUUCAGUGGGGAGGAAAAGGACGUGGUGGCGUAAUACUCACGGCCGUGACGCUACCCACACGAAGAAGACACCGGCCGU
rnacentral:rRNA from 1 species